UACGGAGGAUGCAAGCGUUAUCCGGAAUGAUUGGGCGUAAAGGGUCCGCAGGUGGCAGUGUAAGUCUGCUGUCAAAAGAAUGAGGCUUAACCUCAUCAAGGCAGUGGAAACUACACAGCUAGAGUACGGUCGGGGUAGAAGGAAUUCCUGGUGUAGCGGUGAAAUGCGCAGAUAUCAGGAGGAACACCGGUGGCGAAGGCGGGUCUCUGGGCCGAUACUGACGCUGAGGAGCGAAAGCGUGGGAGCAAACAGG
rnacentral:rRNA from 1 species